AUUGAACGCUGGCGGCAGGCUUAACACAUGCAAGUCGAACGAGUGGCGGACGGGUGAGUAAUGCUUGGGAAUCUGGCUUAUGGAGGGGGAUAACGACGGGAAACUGUCGCUAAUACCGCGUACCAUGGGAUGUGCCCAGGUGGGAGUAGGUAUUUGGUGGGGUAAUGGCCCACCAAGCCGACGAUCCCUAGCUGGUCUGAGAGUAUGACCAGCCACACCGGGACUGAGACACGGCCCGGACUCCUACGGGAGGCAGCAGUGGGGAAUAUUGCGCAAUGGGGGCAAGCUGAUGCAGCCAUGCCGCGUGAAUGAAGAAGGCCUUCGGGUUGUAAAGUACUUUCGGUGACGAGGCGUUAAUCACAGAAGAAGCACCGGCUAACUCCGUGCCAGCAGCCGCGGUAAUUC
rnacentral:rRNA from 1 species